CUGGGAUCGGGGAGCAACUGAAGGCCUGGCUGCUGGAAUGCUCCUGAAACACAUUAGGCUCUCAACAUUGAUAAUACUUGAAUCAUUGUGGGUGACCUUGGGCUUCUGGAGCUUUAAGGAACAAAGUUAAGUGACACAUCCCGUUACAGAAAAAGGAAUCUGAAGAGAAGAUGGCAAAAGAGUCUGAGAGGCAGUGGCCAGAAGGAGAAGGAAAGCAGGUGGAUGUGAAGAAAGUGUUCAACGUGGAGGGAGGAACCAGCCAUGUCAAAUGAUGCUGACAGCCAGGAAGCUGAGGCAUCACCCGAGAAGAAGGCUCAGCGAGUCCGUGUAAGGCAAGCGGGACUGUAAGCUCCAUGAGGACAGGAACCUUGUCUCUUGUUCGCCAUCGCCCCGCUGUGUGAGCACAGUGCUAGGGAUGUACUAGGUGUUCAAAAGGCAUAUAUUGGAUGAUGAGCUAAUGAAUGGCAAAAUGGGCAGAUUAUCACAGUACCUGAAACCACAGGACCUCACCCUAAAUGGGCACAGGCCAGAUGCCCAGUGCUUUUUUUUUUUUUUUUUUUUUGAGAUGUGGUCUCACUCUGUUGCUCAGCCUGGAGUGCAGUGGCGCAAUCACCAACCACUGCAGCCUCGACUUCCUGGGUUCAGGCAAUCCUCCCACCUCAGCUUCCUGAGCAGCUGGGACUACAGGUGUGCACCACCACACCCAGCUAAUUUUUGUACUUUUUGUAGAGACAGGGCUUUGCCAUGUUGCCCAGGCUGUUAUCGAAUUCCUGUGCUCAAGUGAUCCACCCACCUCCACCUCCAAAAAUGCUGGGAUUACAGGCGUGAGCCACCAUGCCUAGCCUGCCCGGUGCUAUUCUGAUUCAUACACUUAUAUUUAUAGCCAUCAAAUCUCAGGGCUUCCUUGGGUCCCUGGGCGACCUCUGGCCAGUCUCUUUCCUGCUCUUGCCUCUCUCACCGAGCUUAGAAGAGGCUAGGCUUAGGGCUUCUUGUAAAAUGACCAGCUUUCUCUAAUUGAAGACCAGGGUACCCUAUCACAUUUGUAUCUAUUCUUUGCUCUUUUUCUCUUUCCUAGUGACCCUCAUGUUGUCAUAUUUGUUGCCAAGCUCACUAAGGAGGGCACCACGGGACCAGGGUUGUCACCUCUAGGCAGAGGGGAAGCUUGAAAAUGACAACACAUGGCCCUAGGAUGUUCAUAGGCACCAUCACAAUUCAACUGCUUCCUCAAGGCCCAGGGAAUAUUUUUCUUUGCAAACUACUAGUAUUCUAUCAGUAUGACUAGUAGUUUAAAUUGUUUGGAAUCUUCUGGUCCAAGGCAGAGCUGUGGGGCUGUGGAGGCAAAGUCCUGCCUGAAAUGGGACCCCCUGCAGGGUGCCUGAAGUCUAAGGGUCUGGGUCCUCAGCCACGGAUCACACAGCCUGGAGCCUGUGAGUGGGGAGCCCCUGCCACACUUCCCUCAGCCAGAAUCCUAAACCCGCAGGAGUCCCGGGGCUCUGCGACACUCUCUAGCCCAACUCUCUUCAACACCAAACCCCUUAUGCAUCUGUCAGAUGGUCCUUCAACUUCUGGGUGAAGUGCCGGUUUAAAAGUGAACUGCCAGAGAAGCAGUCGCUCCAGAUGUCUUCAAAGGCCAGUGUCUGUAACCCCAUCUGUUCUUACCUCAAAGGCCAGGCUCCCAUCCAUCAUGAUGGGGAGAGGUGGGAAAGGGCUGGCUGGUCCUGUCAACUCCGAUAAACAGGUGAAACACUGGCCAGGUGUU
rnacentral:lncRNA from 10 species